GACGAACGCUGGCGGCGUGCUUAACACAUGCAAGUCGAACGGUAAGGCCUUCGGGUACACGAGUGGCGAACGGGUGAGUAACACGUGGGUGAUCUGCCCCCUACUCUGGGAUAAGCCUGGGAAACUGGGUCUAAUACCGGAUAUGACCUCCUUCUGCAUGGUUGGUGGUGGAAAGUUUUUUCGGUAGGGGAUGAGCCCGCGGCCCAUCAGCUUGUUGGUGGGGUAAUGGCCUACCAAGGCGACGACGGGUAGCCGGCCUGAGAGGGCGACCGGCCACACUGGGACUGAGACACGGCCCAGACUCCUACGGGAGGCAGCAGUGGGGAAUAUUGCACAAUGGGCGAAAGCCUGAUGCAGCGACGCCGCGUGGGGGAUGACGGCCUUCGGGUUGUAAACCCCUUUCAGUCGGGACGAAGCGAGAGUGACGGUACCGAUAGAAGAAGCACCGGCCAACUACGUGCCAGCCGCCGCCGUAAUAC
rnacentral:rRNA from 1 species